rnacentral:rRNA from 1 species
CAGGAAACAGCUUGCUGCUUCGCUGACGAGUGGCGGACGGGUGAGUAAUGUCUGGGAAACUGCCUGAUGGAGGGGGAUAACUACUGGAAACGGUAGCUAAUACCGCAUAACGUCGCAAGACCAAAGAGGGGGACCUUCGGGCCUCUUGCCAUCGGAUGUGCCCAGAUGGGAUUAGCUAGUAGGUGGGGUAACGGCUCACCUAGGCGACGAUCCCUAGCUGGUCUGAGAGGAUGACCAGCCACACUGGAACUGAGACACGGUCCAGACUCCUACGGGAGGCAGCAGUGGGGAAUAUUGCACAAUGGGCGCAAGCCUGAUGCAGCCAUGCCGCGUGUAUGAAGAAGGCCUUCGGGUUGUAAAGUACUUUCAGCGGGGAGGAAGGGAGUAAAGUUAAUACCUUUGCUCAUUGACGUUACCCGCAGAAGAAGCACCGGCUAACUCCGUGCCAGCAGCCGCGGUAAUACGGAGGGUGCAAGCGUUAAUCGGAAUUACUGGGCGUAAAGCGCACGCAGGCGGUUUGUUAAGUCAGAUGUGAAAUCCCCGGGCUCAACCUGGGAACUGCAUCUGAUACUGGCAAGCUUGAGUCUCGUAGAGGGGGGUAGAAUUCCAUGUGUAG